GAGGGUGUUGUUCAGUGGUAGAGUGCAUGCUUAGCAAGUACACGAUCCUGGAUUCAAUUCCCAGCACCAUUU
rnacentral:tRNA from 1 species